rnacentral:lncRNA from 1 species
GGUUUGGGACUGGGGAAAGGUUUAAGGUUUUUGGCGUUAGGGUUAAAAUCACUGUCCAAAACCUUUGUAGGAACUCUUUUCCAACCUUUUGGAGUUAGUUAGACCAAAAAAAAAAAGAAAAAUGAAAAAAAAAUAUUUGGGGUGUUCAGGCUUCCUAAAAGUAAUACCUGGGUAUUAGGUUAUAGGGCUAUGGUAAGGUUUAAGGUUUUUGGCGUUAGGGUUAAAAUCACUGUCCAAA